AGCGUAGCUCAGCUGGUAGAGCACCGCAUUCGUAAUGCGACGGUCGACGGUUCGAAUCCGCCCGC
rnacentral:tRNA from 1 species